UGCAACAUCACAAUUCUCCCAUUGUGCAUGGUAGCAGACAUCCCAGUGGAGCAUUUGCUCAGCGAGUCUGGACACAACCUAACUAGAUGAAACCCAGCGCCACCCAUGGGAACCGACCUCAUGCAAGGCUUUACAGAUCAGGCUGAAGACACUGGCCCUCCUCCUCAAUCUGAAUUAAUAGGGAAUACUGACUGGGGAAGCUUCGAGUUCAACUCUUGUAAUCUGAUGGCAAACUUGGUGACAACUGAAGAUGCAAUGCCUGCUUUUGUUCAGUAAUUCCGCUCCAACAAUCUCUGGAAGGCAAUCACAAAGACAUGUUGUUUCACAUGGAAAUCCUAUCCUGAAUGAUUCACGUCAGUGCAAACUGAAAACCUAUUCCCAGUGGAUCUUGACUAACAGGAAUGGGAAUUCUCCAAUGAGGGGUUUGAGAUCAGAAAAUCGGAUUUCAGAGGUCGAAGGUUCCAACCAACUAUACAUCCCAGGAGUUACCACCCAGGCUGUCUGUCACCCAAGAGGAAAAGGCAUUUCCAGAUGUCGCACAGGAGGAGAGGGCAAAGAGGAAGCUGUGAAAGCCUCCUCAGUACGGAGUCGGGCACGACCCAAAAUACAGCUCCCCAAUUUUUUCUUUAGUGGCCCCUUCCUAGCAUAGCUUUAAUGGACGGUUAGCAACAUGUAAAAAUCUUGUAUUUUGACUCAAAGAGAAAAUAAGGAGAAAGACAAAAGCUCUUCUCUGUGACAGCUAGAAAAACACGUUCCUCAACAAUAGGCAUUAAAGUCCCGGAUGUUGCAGCUAUAAAUGUUACAUUCACAAGGAGGCACUGGCACAGGGCACAUCCCAACAGGUGAGGGUGAGGGCAAGAAACAUAAGAGAAGGCCAAGACAGGAGCUCAGUAAUCUGUAAGACUAACAGGUGGAACUACAGUGCAGUGUUUAAGAUCAGUGGUUUGGAUUUAGGCAGAAACUACAGCUGCACCACAUAUCAGCCAUGACACCUCAAGUCAGUCACUUGACUAACUUUAGUCUCCUUACCUGUAAAAUCGGGAUAAAAACAGUACCUCCCUGGAGAGGUUACUGUAUGACUGAACAGCCUAAUGUAUUAAUACAUAAAGUGUAGCCCAUGCCUGACGCACAGCGAGCGCCAACUACGUGCUGACCACCACUGUUGUUAUUGUCCUGUUACUUACAUAAAGUGACUCUAAGGAUGGCCAACAGGUGGGCACACUGGUGGCUGCCCCAAGCACCACUCUAUCAUACUGUAUUUCUCACUGCCAGCUGAUGAACUGCCAUUCUUCACGAGCAUGUGGUGGAAUAGUGUGAACUCACUUCUGAAAGGUCACUAUCCUCUCCAUUCUUGACAAAAAUCCAGUUUCUGAAGC